ACCCAGGUAGACGGGCGGAUCAUCUUUGUAAACGGCGAAAAAGCACGUCAUCACAAACAAAACAGACCCUUUUUGAAACUGAAUUCAUCACUCGAAACCCUCUUCCGCAACUUCUCGUUCGCAAGCUUUUUCUCACUUCUAGUGAAUUUCCCCAGAAAAAUUCGAUUAUUCUUGAUUUUGCUCUUCAGUGUCUGGUCCGAAAACGCCGUAGAUUGAGCAUGGGCAUCAACCCGAGGGAGGUUGAUCGUGGCUGAGGGCGUUUGGGUUUAAGCCUUUCAGGUUCACACACGCUCACACUCGGUCGUCGCUCUUCGCUCCUCAGUCUUCUCUCUCGCUUUCUCUUCUCACUGCUCCCCAAAUUCUCUGCAAAUCAGGCGCGUGUGUUUAAGCUGCGGAUUUUUUUGCCCUUUCUCCGGCGUCCUGCGCCUUUCACUGACGGAUUCGGUCGAGCUAUAGAACAGAGCCAUGGAGGCCUAUAAAAGAUGGGUUAGGGCGAAUAAGGACUAUGUUCAUUCCUUGGAGUCUCUGGCCAAUGGAUUGACAUGGUUUCUUCCCGAACGUUUUUCUGAGUCAGAAAUAGGACCAGAAGCAGUAACUACAAUUUUGGGCAUAAUCACUGCCAUCAAUGAGCAUAUAAUUGAUACAACCCCAACCUGGAUACAAAGAGGGUCUGCAGAGCCUUCUUCCUUCCCUUAUGCAUUAUGCAUAUCUGCUAUUAAAGACCUGGAAACAUUGGUUGAAGUGGCUGCACAACAAAUUUAUGGCGAUGAUAAGAAAUGGAAUUUUAUUGCUAUAACAGAGGCUACAAAGGUGUUGGUUAGGAUGAUUAUGUUCUGGAAUAGUGGAUGCAAGAUGCUUUUGCAAGGAGGACAGAUGCCAAAUGUCGAAGAGGAUUCAGAUACUUCAAGUUCCCAACAUACAAUUGGGAAUUUCACUGGGGCUGGUGGGCACGGGCCUGUUUCUUUAUGGGAUCGUCAUCGUCAGGACCCACAUAAUCCAGAGAGAUGGGCGCUAUCUGCACUGAAUAGAUUUGGGGAGAAUGCUAGGAUGGCCUCUGGCCCAACAUGGUUGCAGAGGCUUCAACACCAGAAUGCAAUUACAAAUCCUCCAACACCGGUGGCUGGGAGACCAUCCAUUUCAACUAUAUUGUCUAAAAGGGGUCUUCUUGGUGGCUUAUUCGUGAUGUGUGAAGUGCUGCACAUCACAAGGCCAUUUAUUUAUGUUUUACUUAUAAGAAAAUAUGGGCUUCGGUCAUGGAUGCCUUGGUUUCUUUCUCUUGCUGUGGACUUGUUUGGUAUGGGCAUUCUUUCGCUAAUUGCUGUGCCGCAGCAUAGUAGUAGAAAAGACCAGCAAUUUCUUCUUUCUGCCUCAGAAAAUGGCGAGCUAAAGAGAAGAAAGCUCUUGUGGGCACUUUACCUAAUGAGGGAUCCAUUCUUUUGCAAGUAUACUAGGCAAAGACUUGAAGGUACUGAAAAACUCAUGGAACCUGUUCCGAUCAUUGGUUUUCUUACAGGUAACCCAGAGAGACGUGCAGGGCCGGCUCAGAGAUAGAGGAGGCGACUGAGUCAGCAUAGUUUUGGGGAUGGACCUUGGGAGCAGUAGUGCUCACGCCAGUGGUGAUGAUGGUGUAGGCCCCUCUAGUGUGGGUGGUGGGGAUUCAGAUGUUGUACUGUGUAGUGUGGUUCAGUAGGUUAUGGUUGAGAUUGCGCGAAGUUCUAGAGAGCAAGGAUGCCUAUUGACAUACCAUGACUAUACCAUUGAAAAGUUUACUAAAAUAAAUCUUCCGGCGUUCUUAGGAGGAGCUGAUCUUGCAAUGGCUGAAAACUGGAUGCAAGUGAUGGAGAAAACAUUGACGGUGCUCCAUUGUAUGGAUGAACAAAGGGUUCUCUAUGCUACCUACAAAUUGACAAGUGAGGUCGAGAGAUGGUGGACGACUAUGGGAUUAUUGGAGGAGCAAAGACGUGUACCAGUGGCUAUGACUUGGCAAUUAUCGGGAGCUAAAAUCGGCACUGCUUCGUAAUUCGUGCAUAAUUUUUUCGUUCGAGCUCCGAUCGAGACGAUUCGAAAUUCUGGAGAAAGAUGAGAAUAUUAUCUAUUAUGUUUUAAGUUUCAAGCGAUACGGGCUCUAAGAUGGUCAAACUUGGGCUUAUUCUCCGAAAAAUAAAAAGAAGAAAAUAAAAAAAAAGAAAAAAAUAAAUAAAAUAUAAAACAUUACCUUGAUGUGACCCAGCCAUGCAGCUAGGUCCGGGUCCUCUUUGCUGGGUUGGCGUAGUGCAGCUUCCCCCUCUCCCUAUAUAUCUCUUCUUUGUUUCCUUCUCUAGGCAGCGCCCCAGGCCCCUUUCUUCCUUUCUCUCCUUUACUUUCCUUUGUUUUCUUCCCCUUCCCUUCUCUUCUCUCUCUCUCUCUCUCCCAACUCCCCUUUCUCUCCUCUGUCUCUCAAAUUCUCUUCUCCCUCACGCACAACCCCCUCUUUUCCUUCCUUUUUUUUUUUUUUUUCCUUUCCCCUUUCUUCUCUAUCUUCUCUCCUUCUCCCUGCCUCCCUUCUCUUUGAACUCUCUCUCACACUCUCUUGGCCUGGUGCUGCUACUAGCCGAGCUCCUCCUCCUUCUCUUGUUUUGCCACUAGCUGAGUCUCUCAUUGCUGUCUGCAAGCCCACGAACCAGUAGCUGCUGCGAGAAGCCUCUCAGCCGUGUGCCAUUGCCACUGCCUUGCUACUUCUUCUUCUUAUUUGCUACUGCUGGGGAAGCUUUCCCUGCUAAUGCUGUUGCCGCCAUAGGGACCCAAGAGCCACCACCAACCGUGAGGACCUUGCUGUGUAGCUUUUGCACCCCAGAACCUCUGCUGUUCCAUGACCAGCUGCUACCUCUUCUUCGUGCAACCUACUGUGUGCUGUAUGGAGGAACACUCGAGGACCCAAGAUUGAAGCUCUUCAAUCUCCACAGCCUGCUCUCUCCUAUCUCUCCCCCUUUUAUUUUUAUUUAGUUACUUUAAUUUAUUUUAAUGUACCGGGUUGGUUUGGAUUUGAGUUUAGUUAAUUUUAAUUUAAGAUUUUGUUUAAGUUAUUCA